UAAAGUUGUUGCAGUUAAAAAGCUCGUAGUUGAAUUUCGGGAUUAGUAGGUUGGUCGUGCCUCUGGUAUGCACUGGCUUUACUGGUUCCUCCUUCUUGAAGAACUGUAAUGUCAUUAAUUUGGUGUUGCAGGGAAACAGGACUGUUACUUUGAAAAAAUUAGAGUGUUUAAAGCAGGCUAACGCUUGAAUACAUUAGCAUGGAAUAAUGAAAUAGGACGUUUGAUCCUAUUUUGUUGGUUUCUAGGAUUGACGUAAUGAUUAAUAGGG
rnacentral:rRNA from 1 species